rnacentral:siRNA from 1 species
ACUGGAUCCAUCUCUGCAUAUCA